CACGUAGGGGGCAAGCGUUGUCCGGAUUUAUUGGGCGUAAAGAGCUCGUAGGUGGUUCGGUAAGUCAGGUGUGAAACCUCCAGGCUCAACCUGGAGACGCCACUUGAUACUGCUGUGACUGGAGUCCGGUAGGGGAGCGUGGAAUUCCUGGUGUAGCGGUGAAAUGCGCAGAUAUCAGGAGGAACACCGAUGGCGAAGGCAGGUCUCUGGGCAUUAACUGACGCUGAGGAGCGAAAGCAUGGGGAGCGAACAGG
rnacentral:rRNA from 1 species